UAGGGAAUCUUCGGCAAUGGACGAAAGUCUGACCGAGCAACGCCGCGUGAGUGAAGAAGGUUUUCGGAUCGUAAAACUCUGUUGUUAGAGAAGAACAAGGACGUUAGUAACUGAACGUCCCCUGACGGUAUCUAACCAGAAAGCCACGGCUAACUACGUGCCAGCAGCCGCGGUAAUACGUAGGUGGCAAGCGUUGUCCGGAUUUAUUGGGCGUAAAGCGAGCGCAGGCGGUUUCUUAAGUCUGAUGUGAAAGCCCCCGGCUCAACCGGGGAGGGUCAUUUGAAACUGGGAGACUUGAGUGCAGAAGAGGAGGGUGGAAUUCCAUGUGUAGCGGUGAAAUGCGUAGAUAUAUGGAGGAACACCAGUGGCGAAGGCGGCUCUCUGGUCUGUAACUGACGCUGAGGCUCGAAAGCGUGGGGAGCAAACAGG
rnacentral:rRNA from 1 species